CAUUACAAUCGUGUGAACGGUUCUGCAACGCGCGACACGGCGCAGCAGAAGUAAAAGGGAACACGGUGCGGCGUACCCAUCAGGGACCAAAACCGUGGCUGCCCCCGCAACUGUAAGCGGAGAGUGCGUCCAAGGGGCCACUGGGGAUCAUCCUCGGGAAGGCAGGACAGCACAUCGACCCGCGAGCCAGGAGACCUGCCGUCACAGGGUCGGGAAA
rnacentral:ncRNA from 2 species